AGGACGGCUCGGUUCCGCCUCGUCGCUGAGGCUGAGGCGGCGGAGAUGGCCAGCCGGCGAAGCAAUGGUCUCCACGGUGCGGUCGCUGAUGACGCCGAGGGCCAUGCCUCCUUGGACGCCUCCUACCUCUCCCUCCGCGGACGAUUUCCCCUCGGCCGCCCCCGCUUCCGCAUGCUCUUCAUCCGCAUUUUGAUUUGAAUUUCAAAUUUGAGUGAUGGAGCAUCACAUAUGGCGGCAGAUGACAGGUCACAGAUCAGGAAGAAUACGAUCAAAAGAAAUCGGCAAAGACAUCACAAAAUGGCACAGCAAAAGAGCGGUCCUCUGGGCCCACAUAACAUAGGGGAAGAAGCUAACUUGCUCAGCAUGUACUUGCUCCAUUACAACACACACCUUCGCUGGAGUAGGAAAUCGAAGAAGAAACCUGUGGUGGAUGCAUCUAUGGACAAGAACAACUUUUCGUAUCCGGCUAAGGUCUAACAGGUUAGUGCCUUUCAGCCAAAAUGACUAACUGUUAAACAAAAUUGAACUGAUUGACACAUGUUAUCACAUACAAACGACACUUGGGUCUAUGAAUAUUUAUUUAUUCAUAUAUUAUAGAUGCAUACAGAGAGAUCAUAUUCUUGCAUGUGCUCGCUCAUAUAAAUUAUAAUGUGUGGCAGUGUGA